AGCGAACGCUGGCGGCAGGCCUAACACAUGCAAGUCGAACGAACCUUUCGGGGUUAGUGGCGGACGGGUGAGUAACACGUUGGAACGUUCCUUUAGGUUCGGAAUAACUCAGGGAAACUUGUGCUAAUACCGAAUGUGCCCUUCGGGGGAAAGAUUAAUCGCCUUUAGAGCGGCCCGCGUCUGAUUAGCUAGUUGGUUGAGGUAAUGGCUCACCAAGGCGACGAUCAGUAGCUGGUCUGAGAGGAUGAUCAGCCACAUUGGGACUGAGACACGGCCCAAACUCCUACGGGAGGCAGCAGUGGGGAAUCUUGCGAAAUGGGCGAAAGCCUGACGAAGCCAUGCCGCGUGAAUGAUGAAGGUAUUAGGAUUGUAAAAUUCUUUCAACGGGGACGAUAAUGACGGUACCCGGAGAAGAAGCCCCGGCUAACUUCGUG
rnacentral:rRNA from 1 species